AGAGUUUGAUCCUGGCACAGGAUGAACGCUGGCGGCGUGCUUAACACAUGCAAGUCGAACGAACCUUCGGGUUAGUGGCGGACGGGUGAGUAACGCGUGAGAAUCUGCCCUCAGGAGGGGGACAACAGUUGGAAACGACUGCUAAUACCCCAUAUGCCGCGAGGUGAAAUGAAUUUCGCCUGAGGAUGAGCUCGCGUCUGAUUAGCUAGUUGGUGUAGGUAAUGGCUCACCAAGGCAUCGAUCAGUAGCUGGUCUGAGAGGAUGAUCAGCCACACUGGGACUGAGACACGGCCCAGACUCCUACGGGAGGCAGCAGUGGGGAAUUUUCCGCAAUGGGCGAAAGCCUGACGGAGCAACGCCGCGUGAGGGAUGAAGGCCUCUGGGCUGUAAACCUCUUUUAUCAAGGAAGAAGAUCUGACGGUACUUGAUGAAUAAGCCACGGCUAAUUCCGUGCCAGCAGCCGCGGUAAUACGGGAGUGGCAAGCGUUAUCCGGAAUUAUUGGGCGUAAAGCGUCCGCAGGCGGCCCUUCAAGUCUGCUGUUAAAAAGUGGAGCUUAACUCCAUCAUGGCAGUGGAAACUGUUGGGCUUGAGUGUGGUAGGGGCAGAGGGAAUUCCCGGUGUAGCGGUGAAAUGCGUAGAUAUCGGGAAGAACACCAGUGGCGAAGGCGCUCUGCUGGGCCAUCACUGACGCUCAUGGACGAAAGCCAGGGGAGCGAAAGGGAUUAGAUACCCCUGUAGUCCUGGCCGUAAACGAUGAACACUAGGUGUCGGGGGAAUCGACCCCCUCGGUGUCGUAGCCAACGCGUUAAGUGUUCCGCCUGGGGAGUACGCACGCAAGUGUGAAACUCAAAGGAAUUGACGGGGGCCCGCACAAGCGGUGGAGUAUGUGGUUUAAUUCGAUGCAACGCGAAGAACCUUACCAGGGUUUGACAUCCUGCGAAUCUCUUGGAAACGAGAGAGUGCCUUCGGGAACGCAGUGACAGGUGGUGCAUGGCUGUCGUCAGCUCGUGUCGUGAGACGUUGGGUUAAGUCCCGCAACGAGCGCAACCCACGUCUUUAGUUGCCAGCAUUCAGUUGGGCACUCUAGAGAGACCGCCGGUGAUAAACCGGAGGAAGGUGUGGAUGACGUCAAGUCAUCAUGCCCCUUACAUCCUGGGCUACACACGUACUACAAUGCUACGGACAAAGGGCAGCAAGUUCGCGAGGACAAGCAAAUCCCAUAAACCGUGGCUCAGUUCAGAUCGUAGGCUGCAACUCGCCUACGUGAAGGAGGAAUCGCUAGUAAUCGCAGGUCAGCAUACUGCGGUGAAUACGUUCCCGGGCCUUGCACUCACCGCCCGUC
rnacentral:rRNA from 1 species